CACCUCCCCACCACAAAGCAAACAAAAGGCGAACAAGAGCCGCGGGGCUUCCGUGGCUCCUCUCCAGCCCGCCGGGGCCUGGGACUCGGUCCGCGAGUGACCCCCAGGCCUCCCGUGCUCAGGCCUCGCGGCGGGUCCCCUCCAGCCGGCCACACGACGGCCCGAGGCUCGCGACCCACUUAUUGUGCCCGGGAGAACACGCGCGGGCCGGCGGCGCGCGACCAAGUGCAACUCCGCGCACAGCAAGCGGCUCCGGGCCCGGGCGGACGGGCCGGUCACUGGGCCGCCGGGCCUCGGGGUCCUCGGGCCCGCACCGGCUCCGGCUCCGGCUGCACCGCCGGGGGAGGGACCGCAUCGGCCCCUCUCCCACAAAGCGCCCCGGCCCGGCGGGAGCAGGGGUGCGUCUCCAAGAGAAGUUGGUUUCCGGGUUUGCUUUCCGAACAAAACCACCCGGACCCGCGCGCUGCCCGGGCAAGGCCUCGGCGGGCUCCGGGCAUCCCGAGGACCGAGGCCAGCGGCCCGAGCUCUCCCGGACGCCGGGCAGGGCCGCUGCGCACGGCGGCGGCGGCGGCGGGAGGGCGCGCGGGCCCAGACGGUGCGGACCGGCCGCCGCGGCUCCGGCCGCGCGCGCGGCAGCGGGCGCUGCAAGGUGUGGGGGCCGAGCCCUGUCGGCCGCUCGCGCCGGUCCGCUCCGCGCUCCUGCCGGCCCGCCCACGCCUCCUCGCUUCCCGCCCGCGCGUCCCGCGCUCGCGCCCUCCGCCCGGCUCCGCUGGAACCAGUGAACUGGAACCACUCGCGGCGGCCCCGGGAUUCCCACAAUGCACAGCGCGCCGCUCGUCACAUCCCUUCCCGGCCUCGCGCGUCCGGCCACCCCUCCCCGCGCUCCCCGGCGCCCCGGCCUUGACCCCGGGCCCGUGCGGGGUCCCGGACGGCAACCGCUCCAGCCUCGGCUGCGCCCAGGCCUGGCGGCCCGCCCUGUCCCCAGGCAUCGGUCCGCGCGCGGGAGCUCGGGGAGCCAGGCUGCAGGAAGACGCUUGUCCAGCGCGCGUCCCAGCCUGUGUCUGCAGCGAGCACCCACUGUGUGUCUUGCGCCGCGCAGGAGCCUCGUCCACAAAGACGGAGGACAGUACCGCUGCUGUCACCGGGGAUCUUUUGCUCCCCAGUCAGUGCAAAACUCCCUGCGCCUCAAGCCAGCGUUUAAACACAAGCCCUGUUCGAGCCACUGCCCGCCCCAAGAGCAGCCGCUGCAGCUCAACUCUCCGGGUCCCGUGGGUUCUUCACAGUUGGCCUCAAAGUCCGAUCUUGCUUUGUUCGUGGAAUGCGUUAGCUACCUCCUCUAAGCAAACGCUUGUUGGCUGUUGGCUCUAA
rnacentral:lncRNA from 1 species